AAUUAUUUAUAUUGGUUUUUUGUUUAUUCACCAAUUUAACACCUAUAGAUAUUUGUAUAACAAGAGAGCGAAGUGCACCUUUUCCUCCCAAGAAUAAAGUUUACUAGUUUACUACAGUAAUCAUUCAAGGGAGGAAAAGGCACUUCUCCCAUGUUAUACAUUUUUCCACCUCCCUCAAAUAAGUCAUUUUUUCAUUUUUAAAAUAUUUAUAUAACUGUUGAUUGAAUACAUGAAUCAUAAUUGAAUACAGGAAUUUGUGUAUUCAAUCAACAAUAGAACUAACAAAAUUUAUUAGAGAACUAAAACUAACAAGUAGGUACAGUAUAACUAUCAAAUUAUUAAUGAAAAAUUUUUAAAUCAAAAUAACAAUUUACUGUUAUUACCAUUUUGCAACAUCUAUAAAUAAAAUUUAAAAUGUAUGGAUACUUACCUAAUAGAAAAUAGAGUAAUAGUAUAGGGUGUCAAUAAGUUAUUUCAUCGAUGCUAUGACAUAGUAUGACGUCAACAUCACUUUUACUUUUACUCCCUAGGGAUUAAAAGUACUUUGUUUCCCUAGGGAGAAAAAAAUAUGACUAUGCUCCCUACAAUGAGGCCAGGAAAUGUAUACUUUGGAUAGAGUAGGUGGGAAAAUCUGUUUUAUUCAGUUAUUGUGAUUUGUUUCUUACAGACAAUCGGUUUGUUCUAGCACGAGUUUCAAACGGUCUGAAACCAUUAGCGAAUAGUGGACCAGCACGAGUAGAGGGGAUAGCACUCGUAACUGUAUUAUGUUCUCUCACUGACCAACUGUUUGCUGACUAGUUCGACUGUUUGCUAGAACAAACCUAUUAUUCAAACAAAAUGUCCUCUACGUCAGACUGAUCAGAAUUUUAAAAAUGUGUCAUAUCAAUCAAAUCAAAAAAUUUCAAAAAUUGUUCCUGUAACCAUUUUUAGUGGAAAUAAUAACAGUACUUAUAUUGGAUCAGAGAGCCACCCAAUUCAUUGUUAAAGUAUGAUAAACUAAAAGUUAAACAAUUAGGCAUGCACUUCAUAUUAUAUUUAAUGAAAUAUAACCCACUGGUACUCAUACAAACUUGACGGCAAGCAAAUGCAACAAAUUUUUCCUCAUUUAUUAGUUUUUCACUACCGUUAAGUUUGGAAACAAGCGCUGUUGCCAAAUAAAAACAUAUACAGUCGGAAAAAUGAAAGAAUACCCAUGAACGAUCACAUCAAUCACAUAUUUUGUAUUUGCUGUUUUUUUUUUCAUAAAUAAUAAAUGAGAGAGAUAGAUUAUUAAUAAUCUGAAUAAUAUGUGAUUGAUGUGAUCGUUCAUGGGUAUUCUUAUGUAUUUACCACAGCAACUACAGGUGACACUGUUUCUCUUUGUCUUUAAGAGUGUGAAACAAAGAUAACUACAGUGGGAAAAAUAAAGAAUACCCAUGAACGAUCACAUCGAUCACUUAUUUUGUGUUUCCUAUCUUUUUCUAUAACAAACGUUUAUUAUUUAUAGAAAAAGACAACAAACAUAAAUUAAGUGAUUGAUGUGAUCGUUCAUGGGUAUUCUUUCAUUUUUCCAACUGUAUCUGUAAUAUACGCUGAGCUCGUAGGUAGAGGGGAUAAUUAAAAAAUCGCGAGAGCCAGUAGUGACAAGUCUGUAAACCUUUACUGGAAAUUUGACAUAAAUGUCAAAGUGAAUAAUUUAAAAUUGAAAUUAAAAACAUUAAUUAGAAAAAAUAUUAUGUUGGUCAAAGCUGUGGUAUAUAUUUUUAUCUUAAGUAUACUUACGGUUUAAAUACUGAAUUAGGUUUUUUUAAUAUUUUGUAAUAUCUAAUUAUAAUUAGAUAUAAAUCAUCUAAGCGCCAUCUACACGAUAAUUGUGAAUGUAUCUGAAGUAAGAAAUUAAUAUUUCAUUAAGAGAACGUUAAAACAGUUAGCAAAAUUUUUAAAAAAUCGAUUACAAUUUAAUUACUUUUUGCGUUGUAAAUAUUAAGCGAUAAAAUUAAAUAAUAAAUUUAAAAAUUACUGGUGACAGUUGAAUUAGUAAUCCUCUAGGAGCGACACCAGCGAAGCUCAGAGCGUAUAAGUGGGUGCGUUUGGACGACCAUAGCGGCUGACUGUCAGCAGAAAUCGGCUGAGUGGUUGUAUCCAGCUGUGAUAGGGAAAGCUUAGUAAAUCUCUCAGCGGCUGACUUCCAGCGGUGACGUCUGACAGCUACUGCUGGCUCAGCUGUCCAGCCGCUGUGGUCAUUCGAACGCACCCAGUGUCAGUCAUGUUUUCCUAUAGUAUAGAAGGCUUAGAUAGAAGGUUAUGUAAGAUUUUUGUUUAUUUUUUCUUCUUCUUUUGUGGCCUUUGGAAGCUGUGCCCAUUUAGCCAGGAACAUUUCUUAAAAUUAAUGCCUAACUAAACCUACCAUACAAGAAAACCAUUACGAACCUAAACGACCAAUCAAGGAUACGGAAGGGAAAGUAAAGUUAUUUAAAAAAUAAACUGUUGUUAAAAUAUAAACUAAAUAAAUAAAAUAUAAAUUGAAAACAAUAAUUUGACAUUAUACAUGUAACCUCCAAUAUUAUGACAGACGUCAGUUACCAUGACAUCAUAUAUUAUACUCGUCACUAAUUCUAGCCAAUGAAAUGCUUGCUGUAAUAGGAAUGGCAUAUCAAAAAAAUCUGACUAUUCUCUAUAUAUUUUUUCAAAUUUAGAAUAUGGCAACAAGGGGAAAGUUAUGUGCAUUGCUCAUUGUUUGACUUUUCCUAUAUCUUUAGUAUCAGGUCAUCGUACAAUACAAAUACUUCCUGCAAUGAUUGGAAGUAAUGCAGAACAAGAAUUGAAUUUGGAAUCGCCGAGAAAAAGGAUUGGUGUACCAGGGUUGGAAAAAACCCGGGUUUUUUAUUAAAAGCCCAACCCGAUGGGUUUUUAGGGUUUUUUCGGGUUUUUUUGGGAAUUUUCAGAUUUUUAUUUUCUGAUGAGUUUUUGGCAGUGAUGUUAUCAUUCAAGAUUAAGGAUACAGAUAUGUUCCCCGCAACACUUUUCAAAGAAGAACUUGUUAAAAAAUUCUCAACAAAGAAAUGGUGGAAGCUGAUAUCAAUAAAAAAUAAAAAAACAAAUAAAAAACCAUAUGAAUUUUGUAUUUAUAUGUUAUCUUUGUUCUCAUGUCCAGCUUCCAUCUGCAUCUAUUGAGCGGAUUUUUUCUUCAUAUGGAUUAAUAUGGACUAAGCUUCGCAACAGAUUAGGUGCCGAUAGAGCUGCAAACUUGGUAAAAAUAUAUUAUCAUUUAAGAACCGAGUCCUCGACCGAGUCUAACGAAUAACGAAUGGGAAUUGGGAAUGUGACAAAAAUACAGAUUCUUAUUUUUCUGAUAACUAAUAUGCUUUGCUGAUGCUUUGUUUAACAAGAAACUUGUUUAUUUUUUUAUUUGUCUAUAUACCAUGUUUAAAAUAAGUGUUUUAUUAGUUUAGUUUCAGUUUCUCUCGUUUUGUAUUCACCUACUACUUACUUCAUGGUAUUUAUGCUAGUUUUUGUUGUUAUUCAGAAAUAAAUAUGACGUUCAUUCAACUGAAAAUUUGCUAUUUUUGAAAAAACUCCAAAAAACCCAAUAAUAGUGGGUUUUAUCAAUUGAAAAAACCCGAAAACACCCGCUGGGUUUUAUAAGAUGGGGAAAUUCUAUGCCAACCCUGGUGUACAAAAUAAGAAAGUAUAUAAAGGACAACAAACAUCUUCCAUAAGCGAUCAAAAUUGUAUAACUGAAAUUCAGGAAAUAGAUUCUGCUCCACCUUUAGAAAAACUGUAAAUAGUAUUUAAGGCAACGAUUGUGAAUGAGUGAGAAGUCUAAUAAAGCCACGACGAGAUACUGUAUUAGAGCGUACGAUUUGGAGGUAUUUUUGAUUAGAUAAAUUUUGUUAAGUACAAUAUAAAUUAGAUUUGAUAAUGUGUAGUAUUUCCUAAUAAAUUAAAUACUAUUAAGUGUUUAUUGUUCUUGUAAGUUAGUGUGGUAAAUAAAUAAUAUGAAGUAA